rnacentral:rRNA from 1 species
GACGAACGCUGGCGGCGUGCUUAACACAUGCAAGUCGAACGGAAAGGCCCUUCGGGGUACUCGAGUGGCGAACGGGUGAGUAACACGUGGGUGAUCUGCCCUGCACUUUGGGAUAAGCCUGGGAAACUGGGUCUAAUACCGAAUAGGACCACGCGCUUCAUGGUGUGUGGUGGAAAGCUUUUGCGGUGUGGGAUGGGCCCGCGGCCUAUCAGCUUGUUGGUGAGGUAAUGGCCUACAAAGGCGACGACGGGUGGCCGGCCUGAGAGGGUGACCGGCCACACUGGGACUGAGAUACGGCCCAGACUCCUACGGGAGGCAGCAGUGGGGAAUAUUGCACAAUGGGCGCAAGCCUGAUGCAGCGACGCCGCGUGAGGGAUGACGGCCUUCGGGUUGUAAACCUCUUUCAAUAGGGACGAAGCGCAAGUGACGGUACCUAUAGAAGAAGCACCGGCCAACUACGUG